rnacentral:rRNA from 1 species
GGUUAAGCGACUAAGCGUACACGGUGGAUGCCCUGGCAGUCAGAGGCGAUGAAGGACGUGCUAAUCUGCGAUAAGCGUCGGUAAGGUGAUAUGAACCGUUAUAACCGGCGAUUUCCGAAUGGGGAAACCCAAGUGUGAUUCGUCACACUAUCAUUAACUGAAUCCAUAGGUUAAUGAGGCGAACCGGGGGAACUGAAACAUCUAAGUACCCCGAGGAAAAGAAAUCAACCGAGAUUCCCCCAGUAGCGGCGAGCGAACGGGGAGCAGCCCAGAGUCUGAAUCAGUGUGUGUGUUAGUGGAAGCGUCUGGAAAGGCGCGCGAUACAGGGUGACAGCCCCGUACACAAAAAUGCACAUGCUGUGAGCUCGAUGAGUAGGGCGGGACACGUGGUAUCCUGUCUGAAUAUGGGGGGACCAUCCUCCAAGGCUAAAUACUCCUGACUGACCGAUAGUGAACCAGUACCGUGAGGGAAAGGCGAAAAGAACCCCGGCGAGGGGAGUGAAAAAGAACCUGAAACCGUGUACGUACAAGCAGUGGGAGCACGCUUAGGCGUGUGAC